CGAUAAGCGCCGGUAAGGUGAUAUGAACCGUUAUAACCGGCGAUACCCGAAUGGGGAAACCCAGUGUGAUUCGUCACACUAUCAUUAACUGAAUCCAUAGGUUAAUGAGGCGAACCGGGGGAACUGAAACAUCUAAGUACCCCGAGGAAAAGAAAUCAACCGAGAUUCCCCCAGUAGCGGCGAGCGAACGGGGAGGAGCCCAGAGCCUGAAUCAGCAUGUGUGUUAGUGGAAGCGUCUGGAAAGGCGCGCGAUACAGGGUGACAGCCCCGUACACAAAAGCGCAUGUGCUGUGAGCUCGAUGAGUAGGGCGGGACACGUGGUAUCCUGUCUGAAUAUGGGGGGACCAUCCUCCAAGGCUAAAUACUCCUGACUGACCGAUAGUGAACCAGUACCGUGAGGGAAAGGCGAAAAGAACCCCGGCGAGGGGAGUGAAAAAGAACCUGAAACCGUGUACGUACAAGCAGUGGGAGCACAGGUUUACCUGUGUGACUGCGUACCUUUUGUAUAAUGGGUCAGCGACUUAUAUUCUGUAGCAAGGUUAACCGAAUAGGGGAGCCGGAGGGAAACCGAGUCUUAAU
rnacentral:rRNA from 1 species